CUCUAACAAGAAGGCUCCUGGCCUAGGUGGGUCACCUCCAUUGCACCUAAGACGGUUGCUCUUAGGUACCGGUUGGUACGUGAAACGGGACGAGUCAUUAUGUCACACGUGACGAGUCAUUCCGUCACAUGUUUGGUGCGCCUACGGGACGAGCCGUUUCGUCACAUGUUUGGUGCGCUUAAAAAUUGUGGAACGGGUUAUCUCAUGGGACGAAAUUUGUUUGAUUUUUCGUUCCACCUCUUCCCUUUGGAACGACCCGUUUCACAGCCGUGGAACACAAAUUUAUAACAUUUUAUGACAAAAUUUCUCUGUAUCUUUUUCAAUAUUUACAUCAUCUGUUUUGUCCUGUUCCGUCCCGUCCCGUCUGCGUACCAAAAGGUACCUUAUGGUCUCCCCAAGCGGGAGAGCCAACAUCAUAUUUUGUGUUAGUGAGGAACUGUGUUCGCGCGGCUCCUACAAAUUCUAGUCAAACUCUCGGGAGUGUGCUUGAUAAUGUUUAAAUGGUGAUACUUGUGUUAGGAUUCUUCUUGUUUUCUUUAGCUGUUCUUUAUGUUGUUUCAAAGCGUAUUGGUUGGGGAGGGUAGACAAUCCAAGUCCAUUGGUCUAUUGACGUUGCAGAGGCAGGUCACAUCUGCCAUUAAGGCCGGUAUGGUUGGGCGAGCAAAACUAAGACCCGGAGCCAUUGAAGAUGGCGUAAAUCAAGCCCAAGUCUACGACAAUGCUGCUCAUAAGGUUGAGGAACCUGUAAAGAGGUUGAAGCACGAUGAACUACGAUGAAUUUGCGGGAGGCAGAUUGUCUGCCCUCCUGUUUGGGUGCCUUUUCUAUCUCCUCCUAUUUGUGCAGUCACAGUCAAGCUAUGUCAACAUUUUAUAUUCUUAUUACUUUUUGUCUUAUUAUCUAUAUAAAAAAAAUUAAUAUAAAAUGUUGACGUGCCCUUAACCGUGACCGCACAAAAAAAAAAA